CCCAAUCUGGAGAACCUGCAGAACCAGAUAUAGGAAUAUUAACUAAAUUACCUAAUUUCCUGAUUUCCCUGUGUGUUUUGCAGAUCUUUUUAAUAAUAUUAAAGAUUCUGAAGAGAUCUGAAGGAAUGCAAGAACAACACUCUUCUUCUAAAAUGGCCUAUAUUCCACCUUCAGAACCCUGUAUGGUAUCUAGAGGAUUCUGUUCUCCACCACCACCUGAUUUCAUGAACCUCCUGGAAAGGAUCGUUGUGACCUUAGAUUCUGCUUGUUGAUCAUCGAGGUCUGGCUUGUUGUUGACCUACCAACCACUGGUGAAGGAUGCAUUUACUCAACAAUCAAGAAUAAUGUUUUACAAAUCCUACCAUUUGCAACAACAUGGAUGGAGCUGGAGGACAUUAUGCUCAGUGAAAUAAACCAGGCGGAGAAAGACAAGUGCCAGAUGACUUCCCUCAUUUGUGGAGUAUAACAACGAAGCAAAACUGAAGGAACAAAAUAGCAGCAGACUCAGAGACUCCAAGAAGGAACUAGUGGUUACCAAAGGAGAGGGGUGUGGGAGGGUGGGUGGGGAGGGAGGGAGAAGGGGAUUGAGGGGUAUUAUGUUUAGUACACAUGGUGUGGGGGGUCAUGGGGAGAACAGUGUAGCACAGAGAAGUCACAUAGUGAAUCUGUGGCAUCUUACUACACUGAUGGACAAUGACUGCAUGGGGGUAUAGGUGGGGACUUGAUAAUAUGGGUAAAUGUAGUAACCACAUUGUUUUUUCAUGUGAAACCUUCAUAAGAGUGUAUAUCAAUAAUACCUUAAUUUUUAAAAAAAGAAUAAUGUUUUAGGCUCUA